rnacentral:rRNA from 1 species
AUACGGAGGAUCCGAGCGUUAUCCGGAUUUAUUGGGUUUAAAGGGUGCGUAGGUGGUUCGAUAAGUCAGCGGUGAAAGUUUGCAGCUUAACUGUAAAAAUGCCGUGGAAACUGUCGGACUUGAGUGUAAAUGAGGUAGGCGGAAUGCGUGGUGUAGCGGUGAAAUGCAUAGAUAUCACGCAGAACUCCGAUUGCGAAGGCAGCGUACUAAGCUACAACUGACACUGAAGCACGAAAGCGUGGGGAUCAAACAGGAUUAGAUACCCUGGUAGUCCACGCAGUAAACGAUGAUUACUAGCUGUUUGCGAUACACAGUAAGCGGCACAGCGAAAGCGUUAAGUAAUCCACCUGGGGAGUACGCCGGCAACGGUGAAACUCAAAUGAAUUGACGGGG